UUUGAAAAUCAACUGAAUUUCUAAAUGGAUAAAUAAUUAAGAAGUACAUAAUGGGUUUUAGCUGGAUUGGGCUUACGACCAGAAUAAAAAACAAAAGCAAAAGCAGUAACAGAGAAGGUCAAGCCUGUAUGGUCUUAACUCAAAGAAUUCAAAAUUCAAAAAAUAAAAAAUAAAAACUGAUCUUUAGUCCAGUCAAUCAAAACUGUUGGACAUCACUAGCCUUUGUCCUUUCAAAUCCACCGUCUAGCCUUUAUGAUAGCAUUUUCCAAUGAAAUCUUUUAAUAUCUGCUAUCAAUAUCUUUUAACAUCUUCUUGAAUCUUCUUCGUCUGACUCCCUUGAUCUUCAUCUUGCCCUUUUUUGAAUAGCAUCCCUUAGAUGCAGUCCCAACAAUUGUCCUUCUUCUUUCCUUAGCAUUUUUUUUUUCAAAAACUGGGUAGUCUUGAAUCUCCUUUAUCUUGUUCUCUUGGCCUCCGUCGCUCCCUCUCCUGAGGAAUACUCCUUGGAUGCAACCCCCGCAAGUAAUGUCCUUCUCCUCUUUGCAUCUCUUCUUUAGCAACAAGAUGGGCAGUCUCAUUUUCUAUUUUAGGAAUGAAAUGAAACCCGAUAUUUUGAAAGAAAUUUUUUUUCUAUGGAUAUAUCUGACUAUCGCCCCUAUAAUCGAUUUAUCUUGGUUUGUGGUCUAAAAUUUCUUAAUCACUGUUCUUGAGUCUCCUUUUAUAUCCAGAGUAUUUAAUCCUAUUGUAAUCCCUAACUGAAUUGCCUGUAAUCCUGCAUGUGCCUCUGCUGCAAAUGGCGAUGAAAUGUCGGAAUGAAUAACUGACUUAGAGGCCAUGAUAUCCCCCCUUCGUAUCACAAACAACCAAACCCGAAGCAGAUCUCGAAGUUCUCUUGUCGAAAGCCGCAUCAAAAUAAACUGUCACCCUCGUGCUUCUUUCCAUCUGCUUAUGUCCUCUAUCAAUGUUGGUAAGAAAUCUUUUUUCCUCCACUCCAUUUAACUUUGCUAUAAAACUGAUGACUUAUUUAGAAAUAUCCCUGCCUGUUGUAAUCUCUCUCAUAGAUGAAUUUAUUUCUAUGAUUCUAGAUUGACCAUAACCCACAGCAAAAAAAGGCGACACUGGUCUUUGUUCCCCAGCCUGAAAACCCAUAUAAGCCACUCCCACAAGCUUUGAGUGCUGUUAUUGGAUACCCAUGCAAGAUCUAAACUUGACCAUACUUCUGUUGUUGUAGCACAGUACCUGAAAACGUGGUUGCUAUCCUCAGCGGAGGUGUGACAUCGGGGACAAAGAGUUUCCACUGCGAAUUUUUUACUCUUUAGAUUAGAUAGAAUAGAAAUAUAAUUCCAAGAAAUUCUCCAAAUUGUAAUUUUAAUUUUUGGAGGGAUUUGUAAAUUCCAUAAUUUUCUGUAGAAGUUUCUAUUCUUGGUUUGUAUAAAAUUAUUACUAGGACCCGAAUUAGUCUUUUGUAAUAGUUUAUAGGAACUUCUGACUGAAUACUUUCCUGACGAUUCUCCUCUCCAUGCUUGGAAGUCCUCGUAGAUUGUCUCUGCCAAGGGAAUCUACAGAAUUUUUUUGGCGUUAUCCUCAUUGAAGGUACUUAAAACUAAAUUUGUAUUCCACUUUCGGUUAUUAGCAUUAAUCAAAUAUGAUACUAACUUAAUAUUCUCAUUGACGGUUUCAUUCUGCAAUCUAUCAUUUUCAACUCCCAAAAUCCAUAUGUCAUCCCAAACAGAGAUGCGAUCGCCUGUUCCUACUAUCCAGCAUAAUCCUCUCUCCAAAAUCCCUUUAGCUGCCCAAACACUCUUCUAGGAAAGCAAAGGUAAAUUCCCCAAUUGAGUAUUGAUAAAAUCUGAAUUUGGAUAAUAUUUUGCUUUGAAAACACGACUUAGUAAAUAAUUAGGGAAAUUGACAAGAUGCCAACCUUGUUUUGCUAAUCACGCUAUAUUGAAUUUUUUGAGUUUACGAAAGCCUAAACCACCAUUUUUUUUCAAAGAGCAUAAAUCUUUCCACAUGCACCAGUGAAUUUCUUUUUAUCUCGAUUUUUCUGCCACCAAUACCUUGCCAUAAUACCUUCUAAUUCAACACAUAAAGACUUAGGGAUUAGGAAAUAUGCCAUCGUAUAGGUUGGAAUAGUUUGAAGAAUAGCUUUUAUGAACACCUCUUUCACCCGUUGAGAUAGAUGCCUUACACUCCAGCUAUCAAUCCGCUGUUUCAUUCUGUCCGCUGUUUCAUUCUGUCCUUUAAGGUCUAAAAAUGCAUUUUCUUUUUUCUACCUACCAUAUUAGGCAAACCAAGAUACCUUUCUGGGUUAUUAGAACUUUG
rnacentral:lncRNA from 1 species